CGCUCCGCAUCCCCCUUCCACUUUCAAUGAAUGAAAAAAAAGCAAAAAAUAAGUAGCAUAUAUCAUGAAAAUUAACGUUGCACCAAAAUCUAAUCUCGGUUGAAUUUUUUUUAAUUCCGAAUAUUGUACUGAUGCUCUUACUCCCAAUUCGAAUCUCUUUCUUGCUUUUUGUAUACACAAUUUAGGACAACAUUAGGUAUUUCGAUGUUAUCGUGUAUGUAGAGAAAAACAAAAUUGGAAAUUUGUCAGCGAAGCAUCCAGCAAUAAAAAAAACAAUCCUCCAGUGACCUUAAACCUCUAAUUCCGCCUAGGAAAAACUGCAAAUUGAUUCGAAACUAGCCCGCAUCAGCCCUUUAAUAAUGGCAGAGAACAUUUCCGGCGUCCGGCUCUAUCGCACAAACGAGGAUACACCGUCUCAAAACGGGUUUGCCUUUGUUGUGCAGAUCGAUAUUCUCAAUCACAAAGUUGAUCACCUUAACCGGCCACUUCCUAACUCGCUCCAAAAAACGGAUUGGGCCUCACUUUCCACGCAAUAAACUCAUCGGUGAACAAAACCAGCUUCUGCAAACUCGGAUGAUACUCCGGAGAAAAUCGAAUGUGACGACGACGAACUCAUUGUAGAGCGUCCAGAUAUUUUAACAAAUCCAGUUCUAGGAAAUUACAUGGACUAUGUUGUGGGAAAAUGGACAUGACUGAUGUCAGUCGAACAACUCCAAGCAAAAUGGAAGGACGAGGAAAGCUCGUGCAGAUCGCCUUUUUUGCUGUAGGUGCGCAAAGCAAAAGUUCCGAAGGUAUGCGACUUCCGUUGUAAUGUCUUCGCCCCACUGUCAACGAAUUGAUUGAAAAGGUGGUUAUGGCAAGCGUGUGACUUAGUAUGAACGAAAUCCUGGACCAGCAGACGCCGAUGAUAGUUAUUCGCCGGCUCACUAUGCCUUAGAAUUAAAAAAAAACAAUCAGUCUUGCUCAGUCGAGUCCAUGCACACAGACCCUUGGAUAGGAACAUCGAAUGAGCAACAGAUCAAAGCUGCUCCUGUAGAUUACAAAGGUGUACUUAUUAACUACAACCAAAACAGUUUCUGCAAAAUAUAACAAGAUCGGAAAAGGAGGAAAAGGAUCACUUUACCACUUGCACACUUUGUCGCUUGCCUGCGAUGCGCAAGUCGCCCGGUGUGCCCGGUGUGUGACGGCUGGAUGCCAGCGAGGGAUAAACCAUGGGUCGACUGACAAUGGGCUAUCUAUCUGAUGGCAACGUUGUUAUAAUUGGCAAUAGUUCAUUAAUAACGAUAAUCCUAAGCUAUGAAAUAUCAUCGCUCCACAUUAUGAACCGGACGAUAUUAUUUUUAGGGAAUUUCUCUCAGGUCGAUGACAUAGUAAGUGCGAUGCGAUGCAAACCGGCGAAUGCGAUUCAAUGCGGCGAACCACAUUUGAAGAAAAUGUAUGCGAAUCGCUUAAACCUGACAUACUCAACGCGGCGAAGCAGAUGUCAAUUUGUUCCGCCGCUCGAGUUCGCAUUGACCGCCAAUUCGCAUCGCAUCGCUCUCACUAUGUCAUCAGCCUCAGCCUUUAGAGUGUUUCACAAAUUAUGCGGGUUAAGAAAAAUUAUAGCAUAUGUGAACA